UACGUAGGGUGCGAGCGUUGUCCAGAAUUACUGGGCGUAAAGAGCUCGUAGGUGGUUUGUCGCGUUGUUCGUGAAAACUCACAACUCAAUUGUGGGCGUGCGGGCGAUACGGGCAGACUGGAGUACUGCAGGGGAGACUGGAAUUCCUGGUGUAGCGGUGGAAUGCGCAGAUAUCAGGAGGAACACCGGUGGCGAAGGCGGGUCUCUGGGCAGUAACUGACGUUGAGGAGCGAAAGCGUGGGGAGCGAACAGG
rnacentral:rRNA from 1 species